GCGCUACUGUUGUAGGAACCAGUCCAUUAGCAUUUUGAUGUUGCAAGGGUACGCAACUGAGGAAGAAGAAGGUGAGAAACCUGACGCCAAUCUGUCUAGCUCUUCAUCUAUCCGACUUGAAAUUUGAGAGGGUGACUGAAAGAUUGAAUAAUCGCCUGGAAUAAUGGCACCCGCCCGUUUGAUUCUACUGAUUCUCGUGUCGAUAAUGUUAGUAUUCGCGUGUGAGGGACGGCCACUGACUUUCCCCGUACGAAAUCGGCCAGUGCCGAAAUGUCCACAGGGCUACAGGCCUCUUCGUACCGGAGGUUGUAGAAAGGUCUUAUAAACGUAAAACAUUUCGACGUUCUUUCUCGCACCAGAAUAGUGUGCGAGAGCAGUGAUGCAGAAUAUCUCUUCCUGGAAGUGCCAUAUUAGCAACGAAAAUUAUCACACCACUUUUAUAUCUCUCGUAUCAUAAUGCGAUCAGAUUCUUUCGAGUCAUUCUAUAAUACAUCUAUUUGAAGGUAAACGUUUUAAAUAAAAAAGCCUUCUUUAAAAAAACAAA